UACGUAGGUGGCAAGCGUUGUCCGGAAUUAUUGGGCGUAAAGAGCUCGUAGGCGGCUCAGUAAGUCGGAUGUGAAAACUCCAGGCUCAACCUGGAGACGCCAUUCGAUACUGCUGUGGCUAGAGUCCAGUAGGGGAGUGUGGAAUUCCUGGUGUAGCGGUGAAAUGCAUAGAUAUCAGGAGGAACACCAGCGGCGAAGGCGGCACUCUGGGCUGGUACUGACGCUGAGGAGCGAAAGCGUGGGGAGCGAACAGG
rnacentral:rRNA from 1 species